UUUGUUGCAUCUUUAUUUCACAUCAUGUGACUUGUGUGGAAAUUAUUCAGUUUGGUGGUGGAUUCUUUUCAAGGCUUUUAUCUACUGUAUACAACUACUUUUCCUGUGUUGUACGUUUUUAGCUGCCUUGAGCGUGGUUUGAACUGAGGAAAGGCAAAACGCUAUUAAUAUGUAUAUGCAUGUUUCAAAGUAGGGUGGUGAUUUUUUACGUUUUUAUUGAUACAUCUUUUUGUAAACAGCUUUGAGGGUUUUUCGCUUUUCACAAUGAAGCAGUGGGUAAAUCUUAUAAAAUAAAUGAUACAUAAACAGGACUCUACAGGUGAAACUCGAAAAAUUAGAAUACCGUGGAAAAGUUCAUUUAUUUCAGUAAUUCAACUUAAAAGGUGAAACUAAUAUAUGAGAUAGGCUCAUGACAUGCAAAGCGAGAUAUGUCAAGCCUUUAUUUGUUAUAAUUGUGAUGAUCAUUGCUUACAGCUGAUGAAAACUCCAAAUUAACAAUCUCAGAAAAUUAGAAUAUUAAAUGAAAUCAGCAAAACAAGGACUGCAAAUAGAGCAAUACUGGACCUCUGAGAAGUAGAAGCAUGCAUAUGUACUCAGUACUUGGUUUGGGCCCCUUUUGCAUCAAUUACUGCCUCAAUGCGGCAUGACAUGAGUGCUAUCAGCCUGUGGCAAUGCUGAGGUGCUAUGGAAGACCAGGAUGCUUCAAUAGCAGACUUCAGCUCUUCUGCAUUGCUCGGUCUCCUGUCUCUCAUCUUUCUCUUGGCAAUGCCCCAUAGAUUCUCUAUGGGGUUCAGGUCAGGCGAGUUUGCUGGCCAAUCAAGCGCAGUAAUCCCAUGGGCAUUGAACCAGGUUUUGGUACUUUUGGCAGUGUGGGCAGGUGCCAAGUCCUGCUGGAAAAUGAAGUCAGCAUCGCCAUAAAGCUCGUCUGCGGAAGGAAGCACAAAGUGCUCCAAAAUCUCCUGGUAGAUGGCUGCGUUGACCCUGGACUUAAUGAAGCACAGUGGACCAACACCAGCUGGUGACAUGGCUCCCCAAAUCUCUUUUCUGAUGAGAGCAGCUUUUGCAUCUCAUUUGGAAACCAAGGACCCAGAGUCUGGAGGAAGAAUGGGAAAAUGGAAGAAUGAAGUCCAGUGUGAAGUUUCCACAGUCUGUGUUGAUUUGGGGAGCCAUAUCAUCAGCUGGUGUUGGUCCACUGUGCUUCAUUAAGGCCAGGGUCAACGCAGCCAUCUACCAGGAGAUGUAGUUAGAGGCAGCAGCCAGGCCUCUAACUAAACCUCAGCACUUGUCAGCCAAAUCAUCGCCUCCUUUGCCUGCCCCCACGUCCCUCUCCUUCCCUUGUUUAGCCAAAUUUUAAACUGUAAGCCUGUCAGGGCAGAAAGCUAUCCCCUCAUAUUUUCUGUAAAGUGCUAUACAAGCUGAUGAUACUAUAUGGAAGAGGAUAAUAAGAAUAAUUCCUCCCUUCCUCUCUGUUCUGUACUUUGCAUUCAGGUAGUGCUAUAAUAAUAAUUAAGUGGAACAGUAUAUCUUCUGGCAUCCAAAUGUAUUGGACCAGGUGCCCAGUGUCUGCCAAGAGUAAAAGGGAAGCUGAAGGACUGGAAUAGAAUGAGGAUAUUGGCGGAAGGAGUGGCAUGUUCAUUGGACUGUUAAGUGUAGUGCAAGUGUUGACGUUUUAUGUUCCAGUCUGCACAAAAUAUAUAUAUUUUAUUUCUUUGCAGUCGAUGGAGAGCGGAUGAAGCCCGGAUUCUGCGUGUGUCCAUCAGCUCCUUCCUGGAGCAUCUCUGCUUGGUGGUGGAAAUGAUGGACCUCUUUGGGCCUCCUGUGGCUUGAUAGAUGGUUGCAACAGGAAGCUUCCCCAUAGUCUUGGCUGGACUUGCCCAUGGGCUACUGAUGUCAGAGGAGGCGCUGAACAUGCCAUCCUUAGAGCCAAGAUGUUGCUUUGUGUUCUGGAGCCAGCGGGGAACUCUCUACUCUCGGAUACUCUUGGAUAUUGAUAGAUGGGUGCUGAGAAGCAGGCAAGCCUGGGACUGCCUUGAUAGAAGACAAAGUACAUAGAAUCUGGUCCUCUAAUAAACUAUCCAGUGUACUUUA